UUAGGCGCCAUGGGAUGGCUUGCCACGAUGUUCAGGCACGGGGCGUGUAGUUGCAGUACGUACGAGUCGCGUUUUAACUUUUUUCUUUGUGUGUGUGUGUGGACUUUACCUGGACUUAUGGAGCUGUGUACCAGGAACUGCGUCGCCUGGAAUUCAUCGAGGACCACUGCGAGCUUCGUCGUCGGCAUCGUAAUUGGUCCUCAACCUGCGCAACCUACCACUGUCUUCGUUUGCACCAGGACAGGAGAACCUACCCCCAUAGCAUUUCCCUGCUGGCGUUGAACGGGUCUUCCUGGUUGACAUCUAGCCUCAGCCCUGCAUCUGGUGCACGCAAUGGACGAUCCCACAGAUCCUUCGUGUAUUUCAUCCAGUUCUUGCUCCACCAAAGAUGACGUCCACGGUUUCACCGUCCCUCAGCCGACAGUUUCUUCUCCCUGCUGGUGCCCACUGCAUUCUCGUAAAGGAUCUUUGCUCGGCGACCUGCAGUCACUUGCCUUGCCAACCUUCGCACCUGGCACACGCAAGGGAUGAUCCCGCAGGUCAUUCUACGUCAUCCACUUCUUGCUCCCCGGAAGACGACGUCACCACUGCAGUCCCUCAGCAGGCGGUGUUUCUUCUCCCUCCUAGCACCCACCACGUUAUCCUGGUGGACCUUUGCUGCGUGAUCUGCAAUAACUCG
rnacentral:misc_RNA from 1 species